AACACAGCGGGGAAAGAAGACCCUGUUGAGCUUGACUCUAGUCCGACUCUGUGAAGAGUCAUGAGAGGUGUAGCAUAAGUGGGAGGCCUUGGCCGACAGUGAAAUACCACUACUUUCAUCGAUUCUUUACUUAUUCGGUAAGACGAGAAUUGAGCCUAUCCGGCUCUUCAUUCUGGUGUUAAGUGCAGCCACUCGGUGGCCGCUCGACUCGCGCCGAAGACAGUGUCAGGCGGGGAGUUUGACUGGGGCGGUACAUCUGUCAAAUCGUAACGCAGGUGUCCUAAGGCUAGCUCAGAGAGGACGGAAACCUCUCGUAGAGCAAAAGGGCAAAAGCUCGCUUGAUCUUGAUUUCCAGUACGAAUACAGACCGCGAAAGCGUGGCCUAUCGAUCCUUUUGAAUUAGAAGGUCUCUAGCAAGAGGUGUCAGAAAAGUUACCACAGGGAUAACUGGCUUGUGGCAGCCAAGCGUCCAUAGCGACGUUGCUUUUUGAUCCUUCGAUGUCGGCUCUUCCUAUCAUUGCGAAGCAGAAUUCGCCAAGCGUUGGAUUGUUCACCCACCAAUAGGGAACGUGAGCUGGGUUUAGACCGUCGUGAGACAGGUUAGUUUUACCCUACUGUGACUCGUUGUUGCGAUAGUAAUCCUGCUUAGUACGAGAGGAACCGCAGGUUCAGACAUUUGGUUCAUGUGCUUGGCCGAUCGGCCAAUGGUGCGAAGCUACCAUCUGAGGGAUUAUGACUGAACGCCUCUAAGUCAGAAUCCCGCCUAGUCAAGGCAACGAUACUCUAAGCAAUCUGCUCAUCUAACGCUUGUUUCGAUUCGCACAAUAACAAAAAAUUACCGAAAAGAUUAUAUCACCCACCAUCGGUAAGAUAAGUUUGAAAUAUUUUACACCUCUCCCCUAAAUCGCACCGGUAACUCGUUUC
rnacentral:ncRNA from 1 species